rnacentral:rRNA from 1 species
UUUAACUGAAGAGUUUGAUCAUGGCUCAGAUUGAACGCUGGCGGCAGGCUUAACACAUGCAAGUCGAGCGGGGGAAGGUAGCUUGCUACUGGACCUAGCGGCGGACGGGUGAGUAAUGCUUAGGAAUCUGCCUAUUAGUGGGGGACAACAUCUCGAAAGGGAUGCUAAUACCGCAUACGUCCUACGGGAGAAAGCAGGGGAUCUUCGGACCUUGCGCUAAUAGAUGAGCCUAAGUCGGAUUAGCUAGUUGGUGGGGUAAAGGCCUACCAAGGCGACGAUCUGUAGCGGGUCUGAGAGGAUGAUCCGCCACACUGGGACUGAGACACGGCCCAGACUCCUACGGGAGGCAGCAGUGGGGAAUAUUGGACAAUGGGGGGAACCCUGAUCCAGCCAUGCCGCGUGUGUGAAGAAGGCCUUAUGGUUGUAAAGCACUUUAAGCGAGGAGGAGGCUACUUUAGUUAAUACCUAGAGAUAGUGGACGUUACUCGCAGAAUAAGCACCGGCUAACUCUGUGCCAGCAGCCGCGGUAAUACAGAGGGUGCGAGCGUUAAUCGGAUUUACUGGGCGUAAAGCGUGCGUAGGCGGCUUAUUAAGUCGGAUGUGAAAUCCCCGAGCUUAACUUGGGAAUUGCAUUCGAUACUGGUGAGCUAGAGUAUGGGAGAGGAUGGUAGAAUUCCAGGUGUAGCGGUGAAAUGCGUAGAGAUCUGGAGGAAUACCGAUGGCGAAGGCAGCCAUCUGGCCUAAUACUGACGCUGAGGUACGAAAGCAUGGGGAGCAAACAGGAUUAGAUACCCUGGUAGUCCAUGCCGUAAACGAUGUCUACUAGCCGUUGGGGCCUUUGAGGCUUUAGUGGCGCAGCUAACGCGAUAAGUAGACCGCCUGGGGAGUACGGUCGCAAGACUAAAACUCAAAUGAAUUGACGGGGGCCCGCACAAGCGGUGGAGCAUGUGGUUUAAUUCGAUGCAACGCGAAGAACCUUACCUGGCCUUGACAUACUAGAAACUUUCCAGAGAUGGAUUGGUGCCUUCGGGAAUCUAGAUACAGGUGCUGCAUGGCUGUCGUCAGCUCGUGUCGUGAGAUGUUGGGUUAAGUCCCGCAACGAGCGCAACCCUUUUCCUUACUUGCCAGCAUUUCGGAUGGGAACUUUAAGGAUACUGCCAGUGACAAACUGGAGGAAGGCGGGGACGACGUCAAGUCAUCAUGGCCCUUACGGCCAGGGCUACACACGUGCUACAAUGGUCGGUACAAAGGGUUGCUACACAGCGAUGUGAUGCUAAUCUCAAAAAGCCGAUCGU